GGAUGUGAGGGUGAUCUGGUUGCAACAUCUGUCACUCCACUGAUUGCCAGGGUUGAUUCAGCUCAUCUGUCUGGCAAGGCAGGUGUGUCCCCUUCUCUCACCACUCCAUGCUGAAGUUGCAUGCUCAUUCAAAGAGGAAAACCAUCCCAGUAAAAAAGGACCAUUCUUUGGUCAAGGGUAAAGAAGCAGCUGCACGAUCCUGCCAGAACUUCCAAAACUCUCAAAGAGAGGAAGACUGAUGUUCAGAUUAGUUGAAUGAGUUGCCUAAUAAUGUACAAUUAUGU
rnacentral:snRNA from 1 species